GUACUUGGAAUAACAUUACGUACACUAACACUGUAACGGUACAGAGAAGAUCAGCCUUCUCCCAGCCCAAGGAUGGCACCCAAGUCUGGGAAGUGUUCCAUAGUUUU
rnacentral:snRNA from 1 species